CUAUAAACGCAUAUUUAGUCAAAAUGGCUGCUAGAAGCUUCUAACCCCUCCUCCCCAAUAACAUCGACUAACUACCUCGUGCAGCAAGAUGGCGCUGGGAAACCGUGGGAGACCCUCAUGGUCCCGGUGACAUCACCCUUAGUAGGCAGAGCAUUAGGAAGACCACUUAACACCUAACCAAUUAUUGAUGUAUUAUUCCAUGUUAUCUCUUA